rnacentral:sRNA from 1 species
GCGUCANUAACAGAUGCAUNGAGAACGAGAAAUCCUGGGCAACUGGGAGAGUAAAGUGUUGCCCGGGUGAGUAACGCGAGGGUAACCUACCCUUGAAUUGGGGAUAACUCCUCGAAAGGGGAGUUAAUACCGAAUAAUAUUCCAGUUCCCACGGGAGUUGGAAUCAAAGGUGGCCUCUGCAUGCAAGCUAUCGUUUAAGGAUGGGCCCGCGUGCCAUUAGCUAGUUGGUAGGGUAAUGGCCUACCAAGGCAACGAUUGUUUUUUUGUCUGAGAGGAUGGCCAGCCACACUGGAACUGGUACACGGUCCAUACUCCUAUGGGAGGCAGCAUUGGGAUA